CAGUCGCCACGGGAAUACGAGGGGGGCAAGCGUUGUUCGGAAUUAUUGGGCGUAAAGGGUGCGUAGGCGGCUUGACAAGUCUUGUGUGAAAUCUAUGGGCUCAACCCAUAGUCUGCACGGGAAACUGUCGGGCUUGAGAAUGGGAGAGGUGAGUGGAAUUUCCGGUGUAGCGGUGAAAUGCGUAGAUAUUGGAAGGAACACCUGUGGCGAAAGCGGCUCACUGGACCAUUUCUGACGCUGAUGCACGAAAGCUAGGGGAGCAAACAGGAUAGAUACCCCCGUAGUCCCUGUCUCUUAUACA
rnacentral:rRNA from 1 species